rnacentral:lncRNA from 1 species
CUCUUAACCAUCCUUAACCAUCCUUAACAAGCUCAUCUCUUAACCAUCCUUAACCAUCCUUAACAAGUUUAUCUCUUAACCAUCCUUAACGAGCUCAUAUCUUAACCAUCCUUAACCAUCCUUAACAAGUUUAUCUCUUAACCAUCCUUAACGAGCUCAUAUCUUAACCAUCCUUAACGAGCUCAUAUCUGGGCGUGGUGUAUGUGGUUGUCUCAGUCAGUGGUUGGUAACCGGUGGGCGUGGUGUAUGUGGUUGUCUCAGGCAGGGGGACGGAUGAGGACGUUGUCCUCUGCAGAUCUGAGGGAGUCUCCGCUCGGCUCCAGGUUCUCCAGAGACGAGCUGAUGCUGAGUGCUGGAGACCUGGACGGGAGGUCGGAGGUCGGCAGCGGCAGGAGGUCCGGAGUGAGUCAGAACCACCGGUUCUCUGAGGACAGAACCAGUUAUGAGGACUCGUUGUCGGGGGAUAAGAAGCUGCUGUUGAAGACUCUGAUCGCUGCAGAAUCCGCCGCCACGUCCGCCGCAGUCCAGCUGGUGUCCUUCAGAGACAUCCUGGAGGAGGACUAUGACGACUCCAGGUGUUCGAGUGAUCGCAGGGUGAGCAGGCAGAAGGGGAUGUUACUGGAGAAGCUGGAGGUGUUUAAACGAAUCAAUGCCUCCGUCCGUCAACAACUUAAAGACUUCCUGCAGGAGGAGGUCAGUACUGAUAAUACUCUACUACUGACCAGUACUGACUAAUCCUGACCAGUACUGACCAGUACUGAGUA